UACGUAGGGGUCUAGCGUUGUCCGGAAUUAUUGGGCGUAAAGAGCUCGUAGGCGGUUCGUCAAGUCGGAUGUGAAAUCUCCACGCUUAACGUGGAGGGGCCAUUCGAAACUGCCGUGACUCGAGUCCGGUAGGGGAGUGCGGAAUUCCCGGUGUAGCGGUGAAAUGCGCAGAUAUCGGGAGGAACACCAGUGGCGAAGGCGGCACUCUGGGCCGGAACUGACGCUGAGGAGCGAAAGCGUGGGGAGCGAACAGG
rnacentral:rRNA from 1 species